rnacentral:rRNA from 1 species
CCUACGGGGGGCUGCAGUGGGGAAUAUUGCACAAUGGGCGCAAGCCUGAUGCAGCCAUGCCGCGUGUGUGAAGAAGGCCUUCGGGUUGUAAAGCACUUUCAGCGGGGAGGAAGGCGUUAAGGUUAAUAACCUUGUCGAUUGACGUUACCCGCAGAAGAAGCACCGGCUAACUCCGUGCCAGCAGCCGCGGUAAUACGGAGGGUGCAAGCGUUAAUCGGAAUUACUGGGCGUAAAGCGCACGCAGGCGGUCUGUCAAGUCGGAUGUGAAAUCCCCGGGCUCAACCUGGGAACUGCAUUCGAAACUGGCAGGCUAGAGUCCUGUAGAGGGGGGUAGAGUUCCAGGUGUAGCGGUGAAAUGCGUAGAGAUCUGGAGGAAUACCGGUGGCGAAGGCGGCCCCCUGGACAAAGACUGACGCUCAGGUGCGAAAGCGUGGGGAGCAAACAGGAUUAGAUACCCGGGUAGUC